rnacentral:rRNA from 1 species
CCUACGGGAGGCAGCAGUGAGGAAUAUUGGUCAAUGGACGGAAGUCUGAACCAGCAAUGCCGCGUGCAGGAAGACGGCUCUAUGAGUUGUAACCUGCUUUUGUACAAGGGUAAACCUGGAUACGUGUAUCCAGCUGAAAGUAUUGUACGAAUAAGGAUCGGCUAACUCCGUGCAAGCAGCAGCGGUAAUACGGAGGAUCCAAGCGUUAUCCGGAUUUAUUGGGGUUAAAGGGUGCGUAGGCGGAUUGAUAAGUUAGAGGUGAAAUACCAUGGCUUAACUCUGGAACUGCCUCUAAUACUGUUAAUCUAGAGAGUAGGUGCGGUAGGCGGAAUGUAUGGUGUAGCGGUGAAAUGCUUAGAGAUCAUACAGAACACCGAUUGCGAAGGCAGCCUACUAAUCUAUAUCUGACGUUGAGGCACGAAAGCGUGGGGAGCAAACAGGAUUAGAUACCCGUGUAGUC